GUUCCUCCCCCGGGAGCACAUUAUUGACACGUUUGUAGUGGAGAGCCCCAACGGUAAACUGACUGAUUUCCUGAGCUUCUAUACGCUCCCCUCCACGGUGAUGCACCACCCUGCUCACAAGAGCCUCAAAGCUGCCUACUCAUUCUACAACAUCCACACAGAGACGCCCCUGCUGGACCUCAUGAGCGACGCGCUCAUCCUGGCUAAGUCGAAAGGAUUUGAUGUAUUCAAUGCACUGGAUUUGAUGGAAAAUAAGACAUUCUUGGAAAAACUCAAGUUUGGUAUAGGAGAUGGCAAUUUGCAGUAUUACCUGUACAAUUGGAGGUGUCCAGGUACAGAUUCUGAAAAGAAAGUUUGUUGACCUUGGUCACUACGAAGGAGUUGAACUCUCUCUCCUUUCUAUAGGUUGCCAUGAUUCUAAAGACCAACCCACAGCUGUGACAUCCCUGAGACUACCACCAGAGGGCGACCGGGCCCCACAGUAGUGCAUAAUUAGGCCCUUUCUUGGAGAUAAUGGAAGACUUGGAAUUUCAGAUGGUUCCACCCUAAUUGCAUUAGCGUUCUUUCUUAACAGGAGAAAGGCUUCAAGAAACAAAACAGUCCUCAUUCACUGGAACAGGGUUUGAGAUACCAGCAUUAAGGAAAGGAGAUUUUGACUUAACCUGGAGUCAAGGCUC
rnacentral:sRNA from 1 species